GCACGUUCACCUCGCUCCGGUGAGGCGCAGUUCGAUCCAGGCCAUGGAACGGGGACCUGGA
ncrna:Synechococcus sp. RCC307 Glutamine-II riboswitch (downstream peptide RNA)